rnacentral:rRNA from 1 species
UACGUAGGGGGCGAGCGUUGUCCGGAUUUAUUGGGCGUAAAGAGCUCGUAGGCGGUUUGGUAAGUUGGAUGUGAAAUCUCCAGGCUCAACUUGGAGGGGUCAUUCGAUACUGCCAUGACUAGAGUUCGGUAGGGGAGUGUGGAAUUCCUGGUGGAGCGGUGAAAUGCGCAGAUAUCAGGAGGAACACCCGUAGCGAAGGCGGCACUCUGGGCCGGUACUGACGCUGAGACGCGAAAGCGUGGGGAGCGAACAGG